rnacentral:misc_RNA from 1 species
GAUGAAGAACGCAGCGAAAUGCGAUAAGUAAUGUGAAUUGCAGAAUUCAGUGAAUCAUCGAAUCUUUGAACGCACAUUGCGCCCUCUGGUAUUCCGGGGGGCAUGCCUGUUCGAGCGUCAUUAUAACCACUCAAGCUCUCGCUUGGUAUUGGGGCUCGCGGUUCCGCGGCCCCUAAAAUCAGUGGCGGUGCCUGUCGGCUCUACGCGUAGUAAUACUCCUCGCGAUUGAGUCCGGUAGGUCUACUUGCCAGCAACCCCCAAUUUUUACAGGUUGACCUCGGAUCAGGUAGGGAUACCCGCUGAACUUAAGCAUAUCAAUAAGGAGGA